CCCCACUAUGGUAGAGACUAAACACAGAGAUACUGGUAGAGUACUACGAAUAACCCCUUGAAACCCAAAGAACUUGGCGGCGUUCCAAACCCAAUCAGGGGAACCUGUCCUAGAAUCUGAUAAUCCACAACCACCACUACUUUUUCUUGCCGACCCCAGCUUGUAUACCGCCGUCUUCAGCCCACCUAAAAAAGCACAACACGUGUGCCCCAAAUCACUCAUCAUAAGUCAGGUCAAGGUGCAGCCAAUGAAAAAGAAGAGAUGGGUUACAGUUUAAAACAAAAUCCGAAGUAAAACUGAAAUUAAAUGAAAGAAGGACUUGAAAGUAAUGGUGGCCGAGGAACCCCCAUGAAUAAGGCACUGGAACGUGU
rnacentral:rRNA from 1 species